rnacentral:rRNA from 1 species
CCUACGGGAGGCAGCAGUGGGGAAUAUUGGACAAUGAGGGCAACCCUGAUCCAGCCAUGCCGCGUGUGUGAAGAAGGCCCUCGGGUUGUAAAGCACUUUCAGUGAGGAAGAACGCCUGGUGGUUAAUACCCAUCAGGAAAGACAUCACUCACAGAAGAAGCACCGGCUAACUCCGUGCCAGCAGCCGCGGUAAUACGGAGGGUGCGAGCGUUAAUCGGAAUUACUGGGCGUAAAGCGCGCGUAGGUGGCUUGAUAAGCCGGUUGUGAAAGCCCCGGGCUCAACCUGGGAACGGCAUCCGGAACUGUCAGCUAGAGUGCAGGAGAGGAAGGUAGAAUUCCCGGUGUAGCGGUGAAAUGCGUAGAGAUCGGGAGGAAUACCAGUGGCGAAGGCGGCCUUCUGGACUGACACUGACACUGAGGUGCGAAAGCGUGGGUAGCAAACAGGAUUAGAUACCCCAGUAGUC